rnacentral:lncRNA from 1 species
UUCAUUCCAAUUAUUUCAUAAAAUGUCAACAAGAAAUAGAUAAUUCAUUUAUUUUAGUCUUAAAAACUUGAUAAUAUAAACUACACUUAUAGUUGAAAACAUGGAUUGUUAUUUAGAUAUACUAUUGCCAGCUCCACCAGUCGAAAGUGCACUCACAUGUUGAAUUCACAACUUGAAGGGCUCCAAGGAAGAGUUUCCAUCUAGGCCUUUUGCAUAAUAAUAUGCAAAGAAAUCUUUUAUGGUAAUGUCUUUGUAGAUUGGAGGGUUUUCUUCUGAAAGGAGCUCCUUAAUAGGACCAUAAACCUUUGAUGUACCUUCAAUUGGUUCACGAGAAUUCACAAAGAAGCUUGCUACUGAAAUUCUUGGGCCAAUGUUCUGUGAUAAGACUCGGUGAUAAACACUUACAAACCUGUCAUUUGAGAUAAG